AAUUUAAAUAAAAUCAUUUUGUUUAAUUUGUGGAUUAUGUGUGGAUUGGUAGAUUUUUUGUCAAAUUGUUAGUAUAGAUGUUUUAAAAAAGGACAAAAUUUUUUUACCAUAUCAACACGUCAAAGAAAUGAUAUACAUAAUUCACUUUCUAGUUACAAUCUUAGUGCGAUAAAAGAUUUAUCAUUUUUUUAGGGUAAACUUUAAAUACCACUUCUAUAGUUUCACAUUUUUUCUCUUUAAUAUCCUGUGAUUUAAAGUGUAUCAAAUUAGUGUCUUGUGGUUUCAUUUUUAUCUUUUCAUCAGCUUCUCCGUUAAUAUUUCAUUAAAUUACAUAUAAAAAACUUCAGAUAUCCCACCUAGAUUUAUCAAAUAUCCACUUUAGUACCAUUUAGUUUUAACUUUGUCACUGAUUUAACGAAAAAAAUAGUAAAAUCGAUAAUAUAAAGAUAAAAAUAAAACUACAUGAUAUUAAAUUGAUACACUUUAAACCAUAGGAUAUUAAAGUGAGAAAAUAUGAAACCACAUAGAUGGUAUUUGAAAUUUUUUUUUUUUUUUACAUCUCAUAUUUACGUUAUUUACGAUCUUCGCAUGAUAU
rnacentral:lncRNA from 1 species